AUUACCGCGGCUGCUGGCACGGAGUUAGCCGGUGCUUCUUCUGCGGGUAACGUCAAUGAGCAAAGGUAUUAACUUUACUCCCUUCCUCCCCGCUGAAAGUACUUUACAACCCGAAGGCCUUCUUCAUACACGCGGCAUGGCUGCAUCAGGCUUGCGCCCAUUGUGCAAUAUUCCCCACUGCUGCCUCCCGUAGG
rnacentral:rRNA from 1 species